rnacentral:lncRNA from 1 species
AAGGAUAUAUCAUGAUUGAAGAGUAUGAAUAAUAAGCUGGCUAUAAUUAAUCAAUAUAAUUGAGAACUAGCACGAACAACUUUUGACUGAACAAGUUUUAAACAUGAACAAACAUUUUUGAACCAACUGGUAAUGAAGGUGAUCAGCCUUUCAUACCUGACUUAUACAUACAAGAUGUACAGAGUACAAUUUUCGUGGCAACCAACAAUGAUUAACCAUAAGCUUGAAUAAAAC